UCGGUGCCAGUGCUGUGGCACACUGGGUUAAUCCUCCACCUGCUGCACUGGCAUCCCACAUGUGUUCCAGUUCUAGUCCCAUAUGCUCUCCUCUUCUGAUCCAGCUCUCUACUAUAGCCUUUGAAAGCAGUAGAAGAUGGCCCAAGCACUUGCACCCCUGCACCCAUGUGGGAGACUCAGAAGAAGCUCCUGGCUCCUGGCUUCAGAUUGGCCCAGCUCCAAUCUUUGCCACCAUUUGGAGAGUGAAACAGUGGAUGAAAGACCUUUCUCUCUGUCUCUCCUUCUCACUGUCUAUACUACUUCUCAAAUAAAUAAAUAAAGUCUUUUUUAUUUGACAGGUAGAGUUAUAGACAGUGAGAGAGAAAGAGAGAAAGGUCUUCCUUCCGUUGGUUCACCCCCUAAAUGGCCGCCAUGGCCGGCGCUGCACCUAUCCGAAGCCAGGAACCAGGUGCUUCUUCUUGGUCUCCCAUGCGGAUUCAGGGGCCCAAGCACUUGGGCCAUCCUUCACUGCCCUCACGGGUCACAGCAGAGAGCUGGACUGGAAGAGGAGCAACCACGACUAGAACCCGGUGCCCAUAUGGGAUGCCGGCACCGCAGACAGAGGAUUAAUCAAGUGAGCCACAGCGCCAGCUCCUAAAUAAAGUCUUUAAAAAAAAAUGAGAAAGGAGAAUUCAUUGGUAAAGCUAAUACUUGUUCCUGAGCCUGAUGGAUUAUAAAAAUGGGCUCUCACUGGUAACAUUAGUGGUAUCCAAGACAUGUAGUUUGCCUGAAUAUUUGGAGACACUCCUACCCUUUUCAUCAAAGGUAUUACAACCUGCAUCUCUGGCCCAAAGUUUGAGGCUUGGACACCUGAGUGGAGAACUCUGUUUUCCUGAAGCCUAAUAGAACAUUAGCCAAAUUCUGCUUCCAGAAUAUUGCUAUAAUUAUUUCAAGAGAACCUUUUAUGGAAGAAGGCCUCCAGGGCACUUCAAAAGGGCUACAGCUGGAAUAUUGUCAGACUUGCAGAAGAGGAUUAAGGGACCAUUCCUUACCACGUGUCAGCUGGAGGCCAUUCUCAGUGUCUGCAGAGCACUCAGGUUCCGUGGAUCCCUUAAUCUUCAAAGUUAACAAUUGAUUUCUGGCUGGAUAAUAAAAGAGUAGCUAAAGAAAACCAGAAAAAGACAAGGCUACUGAGAAAAAGGUCAGUGAAAGAAACUCAACAGAAGAGGUAAGAUUCUAACAGCAAUGUAUGAAGUUCAAAUAAAUGAAGAGAUGGAAAAGUUCUGGGUAAAAAUUUAAGAAGUUGGGCUGGUGCUGUGUCCAGGUGAAGCUGCUGCCUGCAGUGCCAGCAUCCGAUAUGGGUUCUGGUUCAAGUCCCAGCUGUUCCACUUCCAAUCCAACUCUGUGUUUUGGCCUGGGAAAGCAAUAGACGAUGGCCUCUGUACCCACAUGGGAUACCCAGAAGUAGCUCCUGGCUCCUGGCUUCAAAUCAGCUCAGCUGCAGCAGUUGUGGCCAUCUGGGGAGUGAACCGGCAGAUGGAAGUCCUCUCUCUCUCUCUUUCUCUCUCUGCCUCUGUAAUUCCACCUUUCAAAUAAAUAAAUAAAUCUUUAAAAAAAAGAAUUUCAAGAAGGAAGUGGGAUUGUGGUAACUGGGUUAAGCUGCUGCUUAAAGACACCCGUAUUCCAUAUCAGAGAGCCAGUUCAAGUCCUAGAUACUCUGCUUCUGAUCCAGCUUCCUGCUGAUGCACCUGGGAGGCAGCGAGUGAUGGUUUAAGUACUUGGGCCCCUGCCAACUAUGUGGGAGACCUGUAAGGAGUUCUUGCCUCCUGAGUUUUGCCUGGCUCAACACGAUUGUUGUGGGCAUUUGGCAAGUGAACCAGAAUGUGGAAGAAUCCCCCACCUCUUACCACUCUGUCAUUCUGCCUUUCAAAUAAUAAAUAAAUGUUUAAGAAGUAAAAAUAUAAAAACAAUGUCAGGAAGAAAAUGUCUUAAUAAAGAGAAAGUGGGCACAUAAAUUUGUCUGAUGCAAGGCACAAGGCAAAAGUAAUACUAAUUUCAAUUGGUCACAAUGGUUCUUCACAGAUAUUCAGUAAAAGAAAACAUCUAACUCAAUCCACAAAUAACUCCGUUAAUUUUAUCAUAUUUUCAGAAAGGAUAUCUACAUUCCUGGAAAUAAAUCAGGGCAAAAAUGUUUGUUUUCCAUUCUCUUAGGAUUCUUUUAACCCAAAUGACUCCCCCUGACUUUGCCUAGGUAAGUCAUUUCACUUUGCUUCCCUGCACCUGGGACACAAUUUGGGUUUCUCCUAUCUUCUCUCAGCAGUUAAACUUCUUGUUUUUCUCUUCUCUGUUCAUAAGAACCACCAGCUCUAAACAGUUCUCUUUUCAGUUCUCUGUAAGCCCACGUGGAGGAGAAGCAUCUCCCAUUUAGCUCUUCCCAGCAACUUCAGCCUUGCUAACCACAAUUCUUGGUGGCAGCAGCAGGACAAAGCAAUAGUCUGCUGUUAAGAUAAAAAACAAGAUGAAUAAUGCCUAUGAACAAGCAUGUCUUUUUCUACAUCUCAGAAAUCUUGUAUAAGCAGAGCACCAGUCUGAGGGCCACUGUGGAUUCAGACCUGGCUUCCAUACGCAAGCCGUCAUGCAAACAUGAUAGCCACCAUAUGGGUUCUAUUUUAUGCCAACUGUGGAGAGAAAGAGAGAGAGAGAGAGAGA